GUCCUUUCUAGUCACACAGUCACAUGUUCUAUGAUGAUAUUUUUGGCUCUUGAUUUGCAUUGGAUACUUUCACAAUCCACUGCUCGUGAAAUUUGCUUCUGUACUCUCCGGCUGCUUUGGAUAGGCCCCUUUCAGGCUACAGUCCCAGAUUUUAUAAAAGGGACCUUUGCAACAUGUAUCAGGCAGGCAGCGGCAGCAAGAUGGUGUCACAGACCCAAAUUGUCGUGUCCCUGUUGCUCUGGGUCUCUGAUACCUAUGGGGACAUUGUGAUGACCCAGUCUCCAGACUCCCUGGCUCUGUCUCUGGGGGAGAGGGUCACCAUCAACUGCAGGUCCAGCCAGAGUCUUUUAUCAAGCUCCAGAAACUACUUAGCCUGGCACCAGCAGAAACCAGGACAAGCUCCUAAACAAAUCAUCCUCUGGGCGUCCACCCGGGUGUCUGGGGUCCCUGACCGAUACAGUGGCAGUGGGUCUGGGGCAGAUUUCACUCUCACCAUCAGCAGCCUGCAGGCUGAAGAUGUGGCAGUUUAUUACUGCCAGCAGUUCUACAGCGCUCCUCCCACAGUGCUUCAGCCUUGAACACAAACCUCCUCCCCAGGCCUCAGGCCAGUGGGUCUUCCCUGCAGCAGCUGCUUUCUCUGCA